GGCGCGAGGCGGAAGCCCCGCUCCGGGUCCGGAUCGGAGCCGGAGAGUCCCAGGCACUUGUCUCCUCAGUGGAUGCCUCUGCGCCCCGCUGCCGCCCCGCGCCGCGGGACGGGGGAGACCGGACAGGUGUGUUUUACUCCUGAUUCUUCCCUGAAAGUGUUUACAGUCAGCUACAAGUGAGACAACUCCAUGAUGCCAUCACUCGAAUAACUUUGAGACCAGGCCAAUGGACUGAGUAAGAAUUUUCUGAAGUAAUGAAGAAGUUCAUGGAUUCAUAAAACUGCUAACUCAAGAUCAAACAGAACAAGUAUUAAUUACAUGAGAUUGAAUGAAUUGAUGGGAAUAAUUGUAAAUUUUUAAAUGACUUUUGUUUGAAACAUUGCUGGUUCUUUAAUGUUUUGUUUUUCUCUUUUCUCUUAAGCUAUCUAUAAAGUUACAGCAAUUUGGUAAAGUAUACCUUUGUGAACAAAGAUGAAAUGAUUACUUUUCUCCUUACCUGAUCCUUCCAGAAUUCAGAAACUCUUAUUGAAUACUUUUAUUUUCAUGGCAUUAUAGUUAUAUGCAUAAGUCCAAUAAGAAUCUGUUUUCCUUUUAAUAGGACAUAAUAAAAACACUGGUUGUAUUACCGAGGCUUUAACUGGAAUGUUAUAUUGGAGAAUGAUAUAUAAAAUUAUAUGUGACCAGACAGAUAUAAGGAACUAAGGUGGUCUUUAUGGAGCUAAUGCUUAUAAACCCUCUUGGAAAAAAAACCAAAAACCAAAAAAAAACCUGGCCUGGUACCUGGUUUACAGGGUACUCAGCAUUAUAGGUAAGUGAGGAAGGUCACUUCCAGGGAGACACAAGUACCUUAAAAUAUUUUGGGAACUCAAGAAGAGAGACAUUCAGCCACGUCUAUAUGUAUUGAAGGCAAAGUCUGGUGGCAAGUUUCUGGCUUGGGUACCCAGCCUUGAGAGGCUUUUAAAAGUCUAAUUUGAGAUUCCUUAUUUAAAGGUCCAGCCAAGCAAACUUAAAAAAGGUCUAUAUGGUCAAUCACUAUUCUUGCUGCACUUAUGUAAAUAUCAGGCCAAAUUGAACAAGACUAGGCUUAUUUUGCAAACAAGUUAGUCAUUUAUUAUCUUUGCUAGAAAUGGGGGUGACUAUAGAGAGAAAAAUAAUGUUUCAAUAGGAAGCUAUAGCACACCCUUAUGGGUCUUAAGUUCUAGUCCUGUUCAUUGUCUUUAAGGUUUUAUCUACCUGUUAAUGUGACUGGAUCCUGAAUUCUUCUAGUUUCUUCCAGUAUUUGGCUACAGCUCUCUAAAUUAACAUUUCCAGUUUUUCUCCCACCCUUCUGACUUGGAAUCAUUGAGAACUAAAACUGUCCUUUCCUGAAGCCUGGAAGCUGAGGCUGGCUGACUUGAUUUAAACUUCAGAGAAAUCACUACAACAGAUCAUAUAUGGGCAGCCUUCAUGCCUGUUGUUGUGUGGGCCACUCAGAAAGUUCAUGGAACACCUGAUGACCUCACCAGAGACAUUUUAAACUGCAAGCCAGGAAAAUCCAUCAGAUUGCUACUGCCUGUCCUCACUGUAUCACCUAAAGAUGCUUUAAGCCCAACAUCUAGAAGUCUUAACUGCUGCCCUCUGGACUCAAAAACUGAGUUUAUGUUUGUUCUAACCAUCAACCUUUGUGUUUUUUUUUUGUUUCCAUAGAAAUGCCCCUUAUUAAAUGUUUGAUUACUCACACCAUAUACUCCUACUAUACCACCACCUCCUGAAAUGAGACACAACUAUUUGAAUGGACUGACCAAUUUCCAGGACUGAGGUCGAUUCAGUGGGUUAUGGGACAUUCUGCCAACUCAGUUUCUGGACUAUGAAACUUCUUGGGGAAGUUUCAUAUGGAGAAUGACAGGGUUUAGGACAUGCUACCCCAAAAUAUGGCACCUUGGCAUGUUGACUAAUUUCAGGUGAAGGAAUUUGAGAAAUGGCAGGUGCAGGACUUUCUGACCCUGAAGCAUGCCAUAAGACCCUCAUGUGAGCGAUGCCUUACCUAUGCCCAAAGGAAAAGGAGCAUCCUUAUAUCUAAAGAUGGAUGGACAUUGAGAAGAAUUUGAACAAACUGGCCUUGCUAAGUUUCCCCGUUUACUACUAUUAGCUCAUACUCCUCUUUGUCCUAUCAUAUUUUUCCAUGACUCUCUACUCUUCAUCAAACCUAGUAUAAAAACGCUCAGACUUAACCAUUUCUUUGGUCUUUAUUUCCUUAUGAAGUUUGCUGUGUCACAUAAAAUUUAUAUUAAGU
rnacentral:lncRNA from 1 species